rfam:Dipodomys ordii contig_34827, whole genome shotgun sequence.
GGGAAGGUGGCUCAGUGGUAGAGUGCUUGCCUUCCAUGCCUGAGGCCCUGGGUUCGAUUCCUCUUCACCA